ensembl:lncRNA
CUUGAACGCUUUACAACCUGCCAUAAAACAAGAUUGCUGGGAAGGAGGGUGAGGUAAACCACACACACUUCUUAACUCAGGUGAUCAGAUCACUGUUGGUUUUCAGGCUUACAACUGAACCAAUAUGGACACCGGUGGUGAGAUCUGGACUUGUUUUGUUCUUGUAUGCAUUUGUGUCUGUUUCGGUACUGGAAGUCCAAUAGGUACUUCAACCAUAAAUUGUGCUGGGGUGAGCGAUUCUCUGCAUGUGGGUGCAGUUGAUGAAGGAUACACAGGGGAUGUAGAGCUGGUGAGUGGUAUUGAAGCAGGCAGCAUAGUGAAGCUGGUGCCAUACCUCUUUCCUGUCCACCUUGAAUACCUGGAGCUGAGCUUCACACCCGGGGACACCAGCGCAACUGUUCACACCAAGAAGCCACUGGAUGCAGAUACGCUGGCGUCUGUGAGUUGCUGCAGAUCUGUCUCACAGAUGUUAUAUAUUAUGUAUAAUAUCAUUAUGUUUAUAUUAUUUUAUGUGCAGCAGUUUGUCUGAUUAUACAA